rnacentral:tRNA from 2 species
UGGGGUAUGGUGCAAUGGUAGCACACCGGCCUUUGGAGCCGUGGAUUGAGGUUCGAAUCCUUGUACCCCAG